rnacentral:rRNA from 1 species
UAGGGAAUCUUCGGCAAUGGACGAAAGUCUGACCGAGCAACGCCGCGUGAGUGAAGAAGGUUUUAGGAUCGUAAAACUCUGUUGUUAGAGAAGAACAAGGACGUUAGUAACUGAACGUCCCCUGACGGUAUCUAACCAGAAAGCCACGGCUAACUACGUGCCAGUAGCCGCGGUAAUACGUAGGUGGCAAGCGUUGUCCGGAUUUAUUGGGCGUAAAGCGAGCGCAGGCGGUUUCUUAAGUCUGAUGUGAAAGCCCCCGGCUCAACCGGGGGGGGUCAUUGGAAACUGGGAGACUUGAGUGCAGAAGAGGAGAGUGGAAUUCCAUGUGGAGCGGUGAAAUGCGUAGAUAUAUGGAGGAACACCGGUGGCGAAGGCGGCUCUCUGGUCUGUAACUAACGCUGAGGCUCAAAAGCGUGGGGAGCAAACAGG